rnacentral:misc_RNA from 1 species
GAUGAAGAACGCAGCGAAAUGCGAUAAGUAGUGUGAAUUGCAGAAUUCAGUGAAUCAUCGAAUCUUUGAACGCACAUUGCGCCCGCCAGUAUUCUGGCGGGCAUGCCUGUUCGAGCGUCAUUUCAACCCUCAAGCACAGCUUGGUGUUGGGACUCGCGUUAAUUCGCGUUCCCCAAAUUGAUUGGCGGUCACGUCGAGCUUCCAUAGCGUAGUAGUAAAACCCUCGUUACUGGUAAUCGUCGCGGCCACGCCGUUAAACCCCAACUUCUGAAUGUUGACCUCGGAUCAGGUAGGAAUACCCGCUGAACUUAAGCAUAUCAAUAAGCGGAGGA